GGAAGGAAACAAAAGCUAUUAAUAUAUUUCAAAAAAGAAAAAAGAAUUAAAAAUGAUGACUAUAAAAUAAAACAAUUUUAUAUGUUGAUAAAAGUAAUUAUAGAAUCUAAUAUGUCUUAUUAAUAAUUAAAUUCUAUUAGUUUCAAUUAAUAAGGAGAAAGAAGUUUAGCUAGGGGGAUAAUGGCCAUCCAUCCAGGAACCUGCUAAACACUAGUCCAAAAGAUAGAAAAUGGAAGGAGACCGGUGGACCACGCACAAAACGCACUUCCAU
rnacentral:lncRNA from 1 species